rnacentral:rRNA from 1 species
UACGUAGGUGGCGAGCGUUGUCCGGAUUUAUUGGGCGUAAAGCGCGCGCAGGUGGUGCGGUAAGUCUGUCGUGAAAUCUCCUGGCUCAACUGGGAGGGUGCGGUGGAGACUGCCGGACUGGAGGCACUCAGAGGCCGGUGGAAUUCCCGGUGUAGUGGUGAAAUGCGUAGAGAUCGGGAGGAACACCGGUGGCGAAGGCGGCAUCCUGGACCAAUUACUGACGCUGAGUGAGCGAAAGCCAGGGGAGCAAACGGG